CCUUACCUAGCCUUGACAUUGAUAGAAUCUUCCAGAGAUGGAGGAGUGCCUUUCGGGGAACUUGAAAACAGGUGCUGCACGGCUGUCGUCAGCUCGUGUCGUGAGAUGUUGGGUUAAGUCCCGCAACGAGCGCAACCCUCGUCACUAGUUACUAACAGUUAGGCUGAGGACUCUAGUGAGACUGCCUUCGUAAGGAGGAGGAAGGUGAGGACGACGUCAAGUCAUCAUGGCCCUUACGGCUAGGGCAACACACGUGCUACAAUGGUUAGGACAGUGAGAAGCGAUACCGCGAGGUGGAGCCAAUCUAUAAACCUAAUCUCAGUUCGGAUUGUAGUCUGCAACUCGACUACAUGAAGCUGGAAUCACUAGUAAUCGUAGAUCAGCUAUGCUACGGUGAAUACGUUCCCGGGUCUUGUACUCACCGCCCGUCACACCAUGGGAGUUGAUUUCACCCGAAGCGGGGAAGCUAAACUGGCUACCCUCCACGGUGGAAUUAGCGACUGGGGUGAAGUCGUAACAAGGUA
rnacentral:rRNA from 1 species